GCGGGAGUCCUUUAGGAACACUGUUCCAUUAAUCUAUUUCUCGAUAUCCUCCAUUUAUUUUCGUGUUUCCAGGAAACUAUCUAAAAUCAAUCCGAAAUGAAUCGAAAUUCUAAAACCAAUUUGGCUGGCGCACAAUCGUACGUCCCUGAUGGUAAUUGUGUUCCCAACAUGGCCACAGUACACCAGAUACAGUAUCAAGGGCAUCAUCCGCAUACUUCGUCGCACUGUUGUCAACAACAGGCACAACAGCAACCGAUGGCCAUUGCACCAAAUCAGCUACAAACGUUGCAGUGUCAACCCCAUCAUCCAGGAUAUGUUAGCUUGAACACAAGCGCCCCGACGAUGCACCCCCGCUACAUGCUUCAACAGCAACAACUACAGCAAUCGUCUAUCCAACAAAACAAGUUGCCCAAUGGCCAAGCAGUUGCCGCCGGAUACUUGCAACCAAUGGAAUGCAAUGGUCCGGUUUGCUUUCCGUCCGGCUUUCCUGUUCAGCAGGUUCAGCAAUCGUCGCCGGAGCAUUACCAACAGCAGAGAGCACCGAGAAUGAUGCCCUGCAAUGGGUUGGACCAUCAGUGCAACGGUAUGGCGGGAGGAAUGCGUAGAAACUUGCAACAGACGCAACAACAGCAACAGUCCGUCUGGAAACAGCACGCACGCCAACUUCAUCCAGCACCCCAACAACAGCAAGUGGCCUCGGAACACCAAACAUCGGCUGGCCAAUACUUUCUCGAUCCAAACUGUACGGUUCCGGUCAUGCCACAAUCUGUACCCCCAUCGGCCACCCCAUGCAGUAAUCCAGCGUGUAAAAAGUGCAAACCCAGCAAAUGAGUGCCAAGGGGCUAUCCAUCGUAGACUAGAAGCAAUGGAUAAUGAAUAAAUCUCCCCCGCCUCUUCCAUGCAUUGCAUGCAGACCCUCCUGCGCUUUGUUGUGUACCGC